rnacentral:ncRNA from 2 species
GAAAUUUGGGAGAGACCAUUUAAGUAUGGCGCCGAAGGUGAUUUCGCGUAAACUCUCAGGCAAAAAGUACCGAAUU